rnacentral:tRNA from 1 species
GCCCGGGUGGUGAAAUUGGCAGACACGCACGGUUCAGGUCCGUGUGCCGCAAGGCGUGGAGGUUCAAGUCCUCUCCCGGGCACCA